rnacentral:misc_RNA from 1 species
CGCACUGCGCGAUACCUGCUGUUUUCAGCAGGUAUUUAGCACAGGCAACCUUUGUCUAUUACUACCAUUCGUGAAUCCCUCGGCAGGGACGCCUGCCGUAAGGACCCCUAAACUCCACUGUAUGAAGCAUCAAAAUAAUCUGAAAUUAAAACAAUUAUUA